AUGACUUCCAUCGUCAUUUUUAUUUCGAUGCUUGUAGUAUUUUAUCAGGAGUGCCGAGGACAGGUCGUCAUCACUCAGACACCGUUAACAACAGCAGCCCAACCAGGACAAGAAGUGAAAUUAAACUGCAAAGCCAACAGGCCGGUGCAUCUUAAUGACCACUUGGCUUGGUACUUCAGGGAACCUGGAGGAGCUACUAAACUACUCAUACACCGUGCCACCAUUCGAUUCACUGGAACUCCUUCUAGAUUCACAGGAAGUGGACAUGGAGCGGACUUUACUCUGACCAUCAGUGGAGUCCGGCCUGAAGAUGCAGGACAUUACUUCUGUCAGAGUGACCACACUGGUGCAAUAGUCACACGGUGA